AUGCUGCCUCCUGCGCCCUGUCGCGUGCGCCCGCCCGGGCCUCAUCUCCGACUACCGCUAGCUCGUCCACCAUCGUCUGCUCCCAGCAGCCCCAUGCGCGACCUCGUGCACCGCGCCCAGUCCCGUGUCCACUACGCCCCGGUGCGCUGGCUUGCCCGGCCGUCCGCCCGCUCGCUCGGCCGCACGCUCACGCGUGCCGCACCGCAGUCGCCCGCGGCCUUGCCGUUGUGUUGCUGCUCCCUGUACUACUGUUGCUUUUGCGUACUGCCAUGGCGUCGGACGCGGUUUUUUACCUUCGCGUUCCGUCUGUAG
rnacentral:rRNA from 1 species